UCUUAAAUAUGGUGCACAACAUGCUCUAUUCACUGGGCCUUGUCCAAAUACCCCUUGUCCAGCACUCUGAUCUUUGCCCUGCGUUGGAGUUGAGGCAGGAGACUUGGCCAAACUCGAGCUGAUUCCACACAAGUCCCCCUUGCCCUGGCAGUGCAGGUGCUGUGGAAGGGCUUUGACAGGAUGCUGAGAAAUGAAGAGGAGAACACAACCAGCUUCCCUUUGCAAGUCACGAUGCUCCUGCAGCACAGCAGCUGCGUGGAGAUUCAGGGACUCUGCCCACAAGCUUUGAAGUAAUAAAUGUGAAUUUACUUGCACCAGAGGGCCCUUAACUCAGACUUCAGUAGUGAGCCUAGCGUGCUUUUCUUCUUUAAGCUGCUUUCAGUCCAUCAGCCCUGGCUGAAGCCGAGCUGUGUGGAUUUCCAGGAAUGCACUAAGAAUUCCCUGGCUCUGGCAGCCUCUCUGCAUGCACCUGAAGAAUCUCCGUGCUGACAAUCCAGUGCAUCCUCUGCCAGGAGCAGGGCCCACGCAGGAUGGAGGGAUUAAAGGAGGAAGGGACAAACCCUGCAGGUACCAGCUGAAGGAGUGGAGUCCUUGUUCCAUUUGAGCUUCUAUCCCUGGGGACUGCUGAGGUUUGCAGACAAAGGAGUUGUGAGGAGUAGCAGGGGCUUGGUGCCACCUCUGUUGGUGGAUUCCGCACCUCGAGAGCUCUUGUCCUGCGCUCAGGGUGCCACUUUCAGUGGUGGGAGCUUCCACGUCCAUCGUGCAGUUCCUCUGUUCAAUUACUUAAGUACAAACAACCUUAAACUUUGCUUCCCCAAAGGGUCUCUGGCUUUUGUGUUAACUUUUUAAUCAGCGUGAGGUCAGAGGGAAGAAUGCCCAGCACUAAUGGACAUCACUGCCUCAUCACUCACCCUCCUCUUUCAAACACACAUUUCAUGGCUAUUGUUAAUGCAGAGUCAUUUCCCAAGCCUUAGCUUCCACCCCAUCCCAAUGACAAAUGCUCUUGAUUUGGACUGUACUGUCAGCUGCAGGGUCACAUCAGACAGUUCCUCAGUGCUGCUCCAGACAGGCCAUCCAGUUUUAUGAUAGCUCUGUCUCGGCGAUCACAAUUGAACGUCAGGAAUCCAGAGGCUUUUCAAGUUUAAUUGAAUAAAAUCCUUUGCAAUAUAAA